rnacentral:rRNA from 1 species
UACGGAGGGAGCUAGCGUUGUUCGGAAUUACUGGGCGUAAAGCGCACGUAGGCGGCUUUGUAAGUUAGAGGUGAAAGCCCGGGGCUCAACUCCGGAAUUGCCUUUAAGACUGCAUCGCUUGAAUCCGGGAGAGGUGAGUGGAAUUCCGAGUGUAGAGGUGAAAUUCGUAGAUAUUCGGAAGAACACCAGUGGCGAAGGCGGCUCUCUGGGACGGUACUGACGCUGAGACGCGAAAGCGUGGGGAGCGAACAGG